rnacentral:lncRNA from 1 species
AAGGGAUUAUCUAAAUGAAAAAAAGCUGUCCAAGUAGGUAAUAUGCAUUAAAAUGCAGUGUUGAAGAAAGGUUUUAGUCGAGAUAAUUCAUCUGUUCAGAUGUUGGUAAAUGAACAAGUGAAACAGAAUGGAGAAUCUAAGACUAUCCAAUCUGAUGUGAGUGAUAAAGCAAACACGGUAAUGGAGAAUGCUGUGAUUUCUAAUGUUUCAGAAGAUUCACAUGCAGCAGAUUCAGGAAAGUCUAAGGAUGAGGUUUUGAAUUUGUACAGUCGACCACACACUACUGCUAGGGAUAUACAUGACUCAUAUGUAGAC